GCGGGUGCGCUUAGAGCGCCGGUGUCGCCGGCCUCGCCGCGGUUCAAGUGCAUCCCCGGGGUCGGAGCCCGCGGUGCAGGGAGCGAGGUUUCCUCUGCUCAGACCCUUGUUGGUAGUCACAGGAGCCCGCGGCUCCCAGUUCCCCACUCCGCCGCCUUCCCGGCCGCGCCGGACCGCCGGCCUGGGGCGUAAAGCGGGGCGCAGGGGCGGACAGGCACCCGCUAGCUCUCCUCCUUCGCCCCUACCGGGACCCACGGUCGGGCAGCCCCCCAAGUCCAACGUGGAGGCUCCGCCUGGAAAAGAAGUUGGACUUCCUCUGCACGCAGCUCCGAAAGGAAUCUGGAAUCGGCAGGAAAUUGUUCGAACACGCAGCCUGCGCCUUUGCAGUCAGCUCGCGCUUUGCUGAAAAGAAGCCGCUCCCACCAAAGUCCUGCCUCCCCUCCCCCCGAAAGCCCCGCACAGUUUCCCAGCUCACUGAAGGCCAAGGUACCUGCAGCUGUGGGACUUGCCUUACAAGUCGGCGCCUGCAGAUGCCAUAUCCCAAGCUCCGUUCCUCCAGGUCAGAGCCUCCAAGAAGAGCCUGGAGCCAUACACUCACCCAGGUGAAGCCACAGAGAGUUAUCAAUCAGGAGAAAGAAAAGUUGUUUUGGAAAAAUGUGAACACUGGACUUUGACUGCUAAAUACUGGGAGUAGAUCUGAUGAGAAUGAAACCGUAACAACUAGCAACUGUUUGAGGACACGUCGGGCUACGUGGAUAUCGCAUGCUCGUCGGAGGCCCUCCGUUGCUGAAUCUCCUGUAGAUCACAUGCAAGGCCUUCAGGACACCCCCCACCACCACUGUCAGCCUCAUGGCACCUCUGGACCCUUCUCACUUUUCACGACCCAGCUUCAUCCACCUGGAACUCACCACGUUCCCUCUCGUCUGUGGCCCUUCACACGAGCUCAGGACUCAGCUGCAACAUCACUUCCCCAGGGAGACCAGGGAAAGAGUUUGAGACAUACCAGGAAGAGAAUGCAAACAGGAGGAAUCCCUUCUUUGAAAUGCCCCCCCACAGCUGCAGACCCACACAGGCCGCUCUGCACGGGACAUCUGGCCCAGGCCCACGGUGCGGAAUGUCACUCAGCACGACUGGCGGGCUCCCUUCACCCUGCGCUUCGUCAGCACGCAGCACACACCGGCUUUCCUUCUCUCAACACUUGGCUGCCAGCUGUCCGACUCCAUGAACAGAGCCUCCUAAGAAAAAGAUUUCUGAACAAUGGCAGAGCUUUGCAGAUGAUGUGAUAGCAAGAAAGUAUUCUGCGCUCGGGAAAGGGACAUCUCCACUGUGGAUAGUCAACGUUCUCAUUUAUGCAUCUGUUUCUUCUGAGUUAACUCGAGUCUGACCAUCUCUGAAUAUCCUUGAAAGACUUCGGUCCAAAUAAUAGCUUUGCCACUCUUAUUUCUUCGUUUGUGUAAUUGAGCUUACUAAAACACCAUGGGAUUGCAAGAUCAAUAGACAUCAACGCAAUUUUACAAUGUGCUAAAGCUCUUUGAACGUGUUCCUCAAAAUGCCGUUGUGAACAAAAUGCACAUUGCUUUCUUCCACUUACUGCUGCACAGACACAGCCCAGCUUGGAGCAGUCCCCACAAGUGGUGUGCAUCUUGCAAAACCCGGUCCCAGGGGGUGGAAAUAUAGUCCCUUCUUUGAGAAUUUUACUCCACAGUUUGGGUCCAUGAUGUCCACAUCGUUACCAGCCAGGGAAGGCCAUGAUGAAUUUUAUUUUUCUGAGAGGUGAUUUUUACAUUUUUGGAAGAAAAGAGAAAAUCUGAAAACCAUCAAAGAAGUCUCAUAUGACUGUGCUCCUAAAAGACAAGACCUUGCCUCUCUGUACCCAGAGCGCCUGUCAUACGGUGGGCAGGCUUAUACUGGAAGAAUGGAUACGCCAGUUAACAACUAGUUAGCCCUGAGAAACAGUUGCCGUUGGAGAUGCUUAGUAGACCCAGCGGAGAAACUGUGUCCUGAAAGGGAACACUGGUGUGGAGCACGCAGGUACUUCAGGAGCUCAGAAGUCACCCUAAAGGAGAUUUUGAAUGAAAACUUAAAUAAUGCCGGUCGGCAUCCACCGAGCUCUCAGGCAGCACAGGCCACCACUGGACUUGCUGCGGUUAUCAGGUGCACAGAGUCACAUUUACCCAAGGAGACCUGGUCUCAGGAAUGAUGUGAGGUAGCCACACCUGCAGGAGGCCGAGCGCACAUCACGCUUUGUUUCUUUGGAAAGAUCCAAGGUUGUAUGGAAGUCCAGUGAAGGCAGUGCAGUCUUCAUGGGCUGUUUCCGUGAAGCAAGUGUUGCAGUGGAAGGUGGCCCAGACUGGGCCUCAGAAAUCUGCUCCAUGAUUCUCCCUCCAGGCAGAUCUCUAGAUAUCGCCAAGCCUCAGUUUCUUCAUCUCGCAAGACGCAGAUAUUAUUAGUGCAUGCAGUGGUUUUAAUUGAAAGCAUUCAUUUCAAGCACAUAUAAUGUAGGUUUCAGUUUUUCUCCAGAGCUGGUAGGAACACGUUGAGAAUGAUGAUGGGCCCAUGGCGUUAACAAGCUGUGGCGCUGCAGCUCGUCCCUCUGCCCAGCCUCUGGCCAGCGGCACACAAGGAGCAGAGAGGAAGGUGUCAGUUCAUUAAACGUCUGUCCAAGAGGCAAUGCCCCCGCAGCUGACAACAGUCAGGAACUGGCAGGGCCAGUUUGUCUCUGGUUUUUGUUUGCUCAUUUUUUAAUGAGCCGAUGAGCAGGUGAUAGGGCUUCUAAUCUCAGAGCCCAUGUAUUUGCUCCAUCUGGAGGGGACCUGCUGAAAAGUUUUAUCUAUUCUAAAGGGUGUAGUUGGGCUGUUGGGAGAGAGAGUCAGAAUGUUGGAUUGCUGGUCUCACCUCUCAGGUGUUCCACUCAGCAUGAGGGUCCCUUCCAUCCCCUCAACCUGUGGGGUCAUCCCACCUGUCCCGUUUGUACUGCAGGCCACUUGCUGUGAAAAAAUGGUUCUUAUUUAAUAUAAGUAGGGUUAACACACAUCCUGAUUUGUUCUUAACAGUCUGUUCUAUGCUUUUUGAGCCAGAAUAAAUAUUAUAACACUCCCAUUAACUCUCAAAGUGUUGAGCAAUAAAUUAUGUGAUGCCAAAAUACAAUAGGUUAGUUUUUCUGUGGGUACCUUCUCAACCCCAAUGAAUGCCUUAUGUCGAUUGGUAAUAUCCCCUCUGCCAUCAGCUUAGUUGGGUUACGAUACACAAAGACAAAUAAGUGGUGACUGUAUAAUUUCCUCACAGCAAUCCGUAUUCAGGAACAUCAUUUCCGGGGCGCUCCUGACUGGAGUGGGGAGUCUCUGCGUUGAACUGCAGUAAACAUAAUGUGAUGAUUCUAAUGAGGAAGGGUUUCCCCCACAGUCCUGUGAAGUAACCUAACUUUUGGGAGGCAAUAAUCAAAUAUAAGUCACUCUUUCUAAUAAUUCUGAAAGAACAAUGUCAACCAAUGAAUUAUUUUUAUUCAUCCAUUUUUCAAUAAAUAGUUAUUCAAUAAAUAUUUGUGUUAUGUUUCUGGACACUGAGCUAGGUACUAGAAAUAUAGA